rnacentral:rRNA from 1 species
AACGAACGCUGGCGGCAUGCCUAACACAUGCAAGUCGAACGAGACCUUCGGGUCUAGUGGCGCACGGGUGCGUAACGCGUGGGAACCUGCCCUUAGGUUCGGAAUAACUCCCCGAAAGGGGUGCUAAUACCGGAUAAUGUCUUCGGACCAAAGAUUUAUCGCCCUUGGAUGGGCCCGCGUUGGAUUAGCUAGUUGGUAGGGUAAAAGCCUACCAAGGCGACGAUCCAUAGCUGGUCUGAGAGGAUGAUCAGCCACACUGGGACUGAGACACGGCCCAGACUCCUACGGGAGGCAGCAGUGGGGGAUAUUGGACAAUGGGCGAAAGCCUGAUCCAGCAAUGCCGCGUGAGUGAUGAAGGCCUUAGGGUUGUAAAGCUCUUUUACCCGGGAUGAUAAUGACAGUACCGGGAGAAUAAGCUCCGGCUAACUCCGUG